rnacentral:rRNA from 1 species
AGCAGCCGCGGUAAAUUCCAGCUCCAAUAGCGUAUAUUAAAGUUGUUGCAGUUAAAAAGCUCGUAGUUGAAUUUCGGGGUUAGUAAGUUGGUCAUGCCUUCGGUAUGUACUGGCUUUACUGAUUCCUCCUUCUUGACGAACCGUGAUGUCAUUAAUUUGGUGUUGCGGGAAAUCAGGACUGUUACUUUGAAAAAAUUAGAGUGUUUAAAGCAGGCUAACGCUUGAAUACAUUAGCAUGGAAUAAUGAAAUAGGACGUUAAUCCUAUUUUGUUGGUUUCUAGGAUCGACGUAAUGAUUAAUAGGGAUAGUUGGGGGCAUUAGUAUUCAAUUGUCAGAGGUGAAAUUCUUGGAUUUAUUGAAGACUAACUACUGCGAAAGCAUUUGCCAAGGAUGUUUUCAU